rnacentral:rRNA from 1 species
GACGAACGCUGGCGGCGUGCUUAACACAUGCAAGUCGAACGGAAAGUCCCUGCUUUGUUGGGGUGCUCGAGUGGCGAACGGGUGAUUAACACUUGGGUAACCUGCCCUUGACUUUGGGAUAACUUCAUGAAACUGGGGCUAAUACCGGAUAGGAGCUCCUGCUGCAUGGUGGGGGUUGUCUAGUUUCGGCGGUUGGGGAUGGACUCCCGGCUUAUCAGAUUGUUGGUGGGGUAGUUGCUUACCAAGGCUUUGACGGGUAGCCGGCCUGAGAGGGUGACCGGAGACAUUGGGACUGAGAUACGGCCCCGACUCCUACGGGAGGGAGCAGUGGGGAAUAUUGCACGAUGGGCGGAAGAGUGAUGCAGCAACGCAGCGCGCGGGAUAAGGGGCCUCGGGUUGUAAACCGCUUUCGCCUGUGACGAAGAGUGAGUGACGGUAAUGGGUAAAGAAGCACCGGCUAACUACGUG